UUGAUAAUUACCAGAAUGUAUCAUUAUAUGUAUGUUUAUAUGCCAGACACAGCAAUAUUCCAGCUGGAAGACUCUGGCAGGUUCCUAAAUGUGACUUGGUCGGACAGACCAACAGGUGAUACUAUGACCAAUGAUCCAUGCCAGACACAGCAAUAUUCCAGCUGGAAGACUCUGGCAGGUUCCUAAAUGUGACUUGGUCGGACAGACCAACAGGUGAUACUAUGACCAAUGAUCCAUGCCACACACAGCAAUAUUCCAGCUGGAAGACUCUGGCAGGUUCCUAAAUGUGACUUGGUCGGACAGACCAACAGGUCAUACUAUGAAUAAUGAUCCAUGCAAGACACAGCAAUAUUCCAGCUGGAUGAAUGUAGAGUGUUGAAUCCAGAAUUAGACAGACCAAUGAGUG